GGGGGUUGGACUAGAUGACCUUCAAAGGUCUCUUCCAACCCAAACCGUUCUACAAUUCUAUGAACAUGGGAUUCAAGGACUUGGAAGGAACUUCUGUGAUCAUGCUGCUCCUCAUGUAGAUGGACCUGACCCAGGCUGCACACCAGAUAACACUACUAAGUAGACGAUUUAGAAACCUGAUAAUUUGGCUUGAGGCAUCAGAGUUAAACAUCUGAAGAACAGCUGACAGACUAGCAAAUACCGUGGUAUGACAUAGCCUAUUUUAACAUAACACAGGCAUGCAUUAUUUGCUGUUAAAUUAGAUUUUACUGUCGGUUAACUA